rnacentral:rRNA from 1 species
AAGUAAAAGUCGUAACAAGGUUUCCGUAGGUGAACCUGCGGAAGGAUCAUUAUUGAAUAUACAUGAUGGGUUGUAGCUGGCUCUGUGGAGCAUGUGCACGCUUGUCUUGAUUUUAUUCGUCCACCUGUGCACCUUUUGUAGUCUUGGGGACUAAGAGCAAGUCGACUAUCGGAAUUUGUUUUCCGGAUGUGAGGAAUGCUAGCCGCUUUUCUCUAUUGACGGGUCUCCCUCAAGUGCUAUGUAUUGAUAUACCACAUAGUAUGUUGUAGAAUGUGAUCAAUGGGAAUAAUCAUAUACAACUUUCAGCAACGGAUCUCUUGGCUCUCGCAUCGAUGAAGAACGCAGCGAAAUGCGAUAAGUAAUGUGAAUUGCAGAAUUCAGUGAAUCAUCGAAUCUUUGAACGCACCUUGCGCUCCUUGGUAUUCCGAGGAGCAUGCCUGUUUGAGUGUCAUUAAAUUCUCAACCCCUCUAGGGGCUUGGAUGUGGGAGUUUGCUGGUCCUUUAUCACAAAGGUCAGCUCUCCUGAAAUACAUUAGCGGAACGGUUUGCAGUCCCCGUCACUAGUGUGAUAAUUAUCUACACUGUGAAUAGAUUGCUCUCUGACUAGUUCAGCUGCUAAUUGUCCAGUAUGGACAACACAUUGAACCUGUUGACCUCAAAUCAGGUAGGAUCUACCCGCUGAACUUAAGCAUAUCAAUA